UACGGAGGGUGCAAGCGUUAUCCGGAUUCACUGGGUUUAAAGGGUGCGUAGGUGGGUUGAUAAGUCAGUGGUGAAAUCCCCGAGCUUAACUUGGGAACUGCCAUUGAUACUAUUGAUCUUGAAUACCGUGGAGGUCAGCGGAAUAUGUCAUGUAGCGGUGAAAUGUUUAGAUAUGACAUAGAACACCAAUUGCGAAGGCAGCUCACUACUCAAUCAUUGACUCUGAGGCACGAAAGCGUGGGGAUCAAACAGG
rnacentral:rRNA from 1 species